UAUGUUUUAGCCAAAACUCCUCAGUUUUAGUUUCACCCACUUCAAAUUUAUUUCACUUCUGCUCAAACGGAGCUUUAGUUCAUCUGGACGUCUAAAACGUCACAUUUAUUACUGCUUAUUGUGAAAAUAAGAAUCAAACUGUUUGAGGAGAGCUUCGCGUUUCUUUAGAAGCAGGAAGCCGGACAGCAGAUGGACGUAAAAAGGUUUUAAAGUCGCUCUGACCUCAGGGUCUCAUUCUGAACACACGACUGAAUCCGGCUCCACUUUAAAUGUUUUUCUCCAUGAGGAGAAUAAAAUACUUUAAAAAUGAAAUCUAUGAUAUUUUCGUACCAGAUGCAGGUUACAAUUUUAACCAAUUUGCUGGAAAUUAAAAAAAGAGCUUUUAUUUUAUGAGAAUGUUUGUCUAAAUAUGAGAAAAUAGUCGUAAUAUUAUCAGAAUAAAGACGCAAUAUAUUAAAAUUAAGAGAAAAAAAUGUUUUUAUCAGGAUCUGACAUGAUCAGCUCAGUUCAUCAGCUGAUUGAACGAUAGUUUCAAAGUUCUGCUUCUGGUAAUAAUUUGAUGCUGAUGUGCUAAAAGAUGAGGUAAAACUUAAACCAAAGUAAAUUUUUUAUUUCUCAUGUUGCAUCUCUCAUAAAAAUACAACUUUAUUCUUGUAAUUAAAAUAAAAACCUUAGCUUGGUGCUAAUACUCAGAUUAUUGAGAUUUGACCUGAAUACUACUGCAAACACGCUUUUCAAACAAGAUGGCGCUGAUUUCACUCUGAACUAUGAAAACCUGAGGGAAAAAUCCGUAUUUUCCAAAAAUGUAAUCUUCACAAACCAAAAGCUCGAUUAAUCGAUCAAAUCCAAAUCGCCCAGCCCAACCAGGAAGUGGAUCUGGGUUGAUUUGACCCGUUAGUUCAUCCUGGAUGCGUCUUGCUCAGGAUGCGGAGAAGUUUCCCAGCUGAAGCUUUAAUUUCAGCGUUUUUCCUCCCACCUCCUCGGCUCGGUUUCUCUUUCCGCCUCCCACUCCUCCUUCCCUCCCAGCGUCUCGCAGAGAGCCGGUUGCUAUGCGAACAGGUGCUAAAAGAGCCUCUUGUGCUUCUGCGCGUCCAAACUGAGCGCAAGCGGGACAAACGUGCAGCUCGGAGGGUCGACGAAGGCGAUGAAGAGGAGGAGGAGGAGGAGGAGUGAAGGUAUUUUCCAGGUGAGCCACUUGUUCCCACCCUAAGCUGUGAUCUGUGUGCCAGAGUCAACCAGGAAGUGAUGUCACCAGACCGGAUCGUCGGAUCGCUGGAUCGCCGGAUUAUCGGAUUGCUGGAUCGCCG